GGUUUGGAAGGGUCCUUAAAGAUCAUAAAGCCAUGGAAAGGGCUGUGUCUCCUAACAUCUAACCUAACACUAAAAAUUGAGCAUCAUCUCCACCCAUCAUCUCCAUCCCAGACAGACACAGGGAUGGGGCAGCCCCCGCUGCUCCCCACGGACGUACCACAAGCCCCAGGACGAGGGUGCGCACCCGCUCCCCAAUCUCAGGCGAGAUGUCAUUGCCAAACUGCUGCAGGGUGAGACAGACCAUCGACCAUUUCAAGCAACCAUGAAAACGGCCGCGAGGAAGAAACGUCGGAGGGACAGCGUCUCGAUCUGCAAGCAAAAUAAAACACGCUGUGAUGAGAGAGCAGAGGGACAGCUCUCAGCCCGGGGGGGGGCCUGGUUUGUGCACAGCACCACGGGCACAGCUCUGUGUGUCCCAUUGGAGCUCAGCGGGUGCUCCACUGCCCCAUUGGGUCCCUGGCAAAACUUCCAUGAGGGUGAGAACAAGUCAAAACGCUGCCCCAAAGCAGGGUCAGGAUGGUGGCAGGGCACCCAUACCAAUGGGAUGGAGAUGCCCACGGCCGGCCCCUGUGGAAGGGCUGGGAUUAAAAAGCAAAACCCAUCAGAGCACAGACGGGCACAAUCCGAUUUCUAAUUAGAGGACAUCUGGCUGGGAGCAGGGCUGGGGUUGGGGUGUCAUUUUGGGUCCGUUUCAUCCCUGAUGGGGUUUCUAUGCAAGGAGAUACAGGAAUGCAUGUGCUUAGAGAGAGACCUCAGCAAGCCACAGCAACCCUGAUGCUGCCCAUCUGUAUCCCAGGGCUGCACCACUGGUGUUGGGACCAACCUGAGUGUGAGUCCUGCAGGCACACGGUGAGUGCACAGAGCACUGGUGCAGCCAGGGCUCCCCCCAGCUACAGAGACCCUGAUGGCAACACGCUGUGAUCCGGACACAGGCAGGAGGACCCCCACCACGUGGGGCCGUGACACUGUCCCAGCACCCUGCAGCAGUUCUGCACCCAGGGCUGCACCGGUGCUGCUCCUAUUUGGUGACCACAUGGCAGGAGUGAGACCUGGACAUCCCCAUCCCCAAGCAUCUCUCCAGGAAUGAGCAGAGCGCACAGCACCUCAAUCCCUACUGUGGCACACAGACGGCACGAGGACACCGCACACCCCCAACACGGUGCAAGCCCAACUUUGCCACCCAUCCCCAUCCCCAUCCCCAUCCCC